rnacentral:lncRNA from 12 species
CAAAUACUUACAUCACUACUGAUUUCAGGCUAGUAACUUGACAUCACUCGGUGCACAGCUGGGAAGAGGUGAAUGCAGCGAGCUCUUCUGAGCUAGAACCAAGAUGCUCCAACCCCACCACUGGCCCCAAAACACAUGAAACCCAACCUGAGGGCAGUGCUCUGCAGACUGGAACUCAUAGUCUUCAAGUCAUGGCAGAGACAAAAGCUUUGGCAACUGAAUAACACCCUGAACAAUAAUCCACUGUUGGGUUUCCUGGCUCUAUCAUACAUCAGUGGACAGUCAUGGGCAAGUUCCUGAACUUCUCCGAGCCUCAGGCUUUCUUAUCUCUAAGUGGGUAAGUUCAUGUGUGCCUUGGGGGACUGCUAUAAGGAUUAAAGGAAGGAACUGCGCGUAACUAGCUAGGGAACAGAGAAGCCCAGCAGCAAAUUUUAGUUACCAUUUCUUUCUUUUUUAAAAAGAUUUUAUUUAUUUAUUCAUAAGAAACACACAGAGAGAGGCAGAGACAUAGGCAGAGGGAGAAGCAGGCUCUCUGUGGGGAGCCUGAUGCAGUACUCUAUCCCAGAACCCCCGAGAUCACACGACCUGAGCCAAAGGCAGACGCUCAACCACUGAGCCACCCAGGUGUUCCACAAACGUUAGGUACCUUUUCUAUAGAAACAGGAGGAUAGGGCAGCCUGAGUGGCUCAGUGGUUUAGUACCGCCUUUGGCCCAGGGCGUGAUCCUGGGGACCCAAGAUCAAGUCCCACAUUGGGCUCCCUGCAUGGAGCUUGCUUCUCCUUCUGCCUGUGUCUCUGCCUCUCUCUCUCUCUGUGACUCUCAUGAAUAAAAUAAAUAAAAUCUUAAAAAAAAAAAGAAAC